GCAGCUGGGAGGCUGGGAAGAGCAAAGUCCCCGGCACUCCCGUCCUAGGUUUAAGACGGCCUGGUACAUUUUAGGCACUUUUUUCCUGCAUGGAAAAAUAGUGAAUACGCUUUAUGACCUCAUCCUGUGUUGGGCUCAUUGCUGUACUGUUAUUUUAUUUUACUUUUAUGAUUGGUUAUUGCUCUUUUCACAGCGGAUUUACAUCUUCUUAGGACUUCAACGGAAAUCCAACAGAAGAAAUCAAUUGGGCGCAGUUUGGCCACUAGGGGGCAGCAGGAGGUCGCCAGACGUUUCCGGGUAGCUGGGCGGAGGGUGACCGGUUAACUCCAGGGAAAAGAUGGGACACUGUGACUCACAAAGGGCUUUUUGGCUUCUCACAGCAUUUCCUCACAGUGUUGAGUUUGCUUCUCACACCAGGCCCAGGAAACCGGCGGGUGGGGCGGGAGUUAUUGCCCCACGCCGCGGGCCGGGGGAGGGAAGGGUUUACCUUGGGAGGGUUGGUGUCAUAGGAGGUCACAGAGUGGCAGAGGCGGGGUCCACCGGGAUCCAGGCUCCUCCUGGGAAGCUCCACCCUCAGAGACCCCAGAUAAGCUGGGUACUGCGAGGAGACCAGGGGCAGAAACCCGGAGGCCGACGUUUAUAAACGUCGCCCGGCUCAGUCCUUCCAUACCCACUCCGGGCCCCACCCACGGCUUAGCAAUGCCCUCUGCAUCUCACCGGUGAGAGAGAUGCUCAGGCCCCUCCCUCAGGAACUGGGCACAAAGGCAAAUUCACUGCGCGGAGGGCUGGGGAGAAAUGUGUGUUGCACAAGCUGAGUGAUCAGUUUGUGGAGACGAAAAGGCCAGGAAACAAACACAACACAGAAGAAGCCAAAAAAGUUCUGGGAGGAAGGAGCUGGUAACCAAAUGGAGCCAGGCCUGAAGCAGGCAGAGGUGCUUGCUUCUGCUAGAGGCCCCGAAAAGUGAGACCAGGUCUUGAAUGCUACCAAUCACCCGCUAGGGUCAGAGGUGACAGCUGCACCUCACAGGCUCACCCAGCAUGACCAUACGGCGGCUAGUCUGACCCUUGCAGGCUCAACUGGGGCUGGAAUCACAGCAGGAGCCACCGAGCUGAAUGCUGUCGGAGGGUAGAAGGAAGCCCCCUUUUCCUGAUGCAUGGCCUAGAGCUCUUGAUGGUAAGCAGCGCCACCUCAAGAAAUGGAAGAUGAAGGUAGCUGGGAGUGUUCAGUGAGCACCGGAGCACCUUCCCAGGACCUGUGAGGAAGAAGUAAGGCAGAAAGUAAACCUAAGCUUUGGAACUGCGCAAGGAGUGAAGCCUCCCAACAUUAUGAUUUAUCACCGUGGCUGGAAAAGCAAAACAGCCAGCCCAAGAGGUGACACACCAGAGCAGGCUGAUGCAUAACAUCUGGAACACCGUGUCUGGGGUUCCUUUUGUCUCCAGUGUCCUCAGAGUCUGUGCCUCCAAGGAAACCAGAGAGAAUCGUGUGCUGACUUGAGAUUAGCAAGCCUGGGAAGGUCUAGCCAUGACUCCUCAUGCAGCUCUGACUCAGCAGUCAUUUUUUUUUUUUUUGUGCCCCGCUGGCUCGGAGUCACUGAAGGAGAGAAUGUCUUCUUUGAACCUCUCUGUCGGUUCUGACUAAGCGGACAAGGAUAGGCAGCUCAUUCAUUACCUGGCUGGGAGCAUCUUUCUGCCUGAGCCUGCCUCCCACCUGAAUUUCCCUGUCCCCUACUCUACCUGUCUUCCUCAGAAGCUCCCAAGUGUGAAUACCCAAGCCUCCCUGUGCCUGGGCGGCAUGGGAGCUUCCAAAAGCACCCACCCACCUAUUUGUCUUCCGUCUUUUUUGCACAAUGGCCAAUUCGUUAGUUGCUUUUCCUUUGCUGUGACAGACUACUUGGCAAGAAGGAACUUAAGGAAGGAGUGGUUUAUUUUGGCUCCGCAGUUUGAGGAUGUCGGAAUGGCUCUUCUUCAUGGUCGUGAUGUUGACUGCCACCCGCUCCUGAGAGGCAGAGGCGGGUGGAUCUCUGUAAGUUCAAAAGCAGCUUGGUCUUCAUAGUGAGUUCCAGCCCGCUCAGCACUGCACAGUGAGACCCUGUCUCAAAACAAGAGUGGCUUUCAGCUGUGCGGCAGCAGGAGCGUGGCGAGGCAGCACAUUUGCCGUCGCGGUGAGAAAGCAGAGACCAUAGGAGGCGGGAGCUCACGGCUUUCUCCUUUUUUGUCCGUCCCAGGAAUGAGCACCCACAGGGUGGUGCCACCCACGUUCAGGGUUAGGUCUUCUCACCUCAGUUAAGCCUCUCUAGAAACAGCCUCACCUGCAGCUAUGUCCGAGGUCAUCCCAAGUCCCAUCAAGGUGGCAAACUCAGGUCAACCAUCACAUAAUCCCCUCCUGGCAUGCCACUAGUCAAUUCGGGUGGAGCCGCUUCCCUGAGAAAAAGCUCUCGGUCUGUGUGGUCACCUCAGCCUCGUCACCCAGCACAGAGAAGCUCACCCUCUUCUUCACUUUCAGUUUCUCUGUCCCCAGGAGGUCCACGGUCCUUCCUCCCAAUUUAGAGUUCCCCAACUUAGCUUUCUUGUUAUGGUCAGCCCAGGCUAUUGCAGGCAGCAGCUCAGCCAGGUUUGGUUGUCUGUAGCUGAACAUUGAGAUUCGCCAGCAUUCAGAGGAUUUGAGGACAUUUCCCUUUCACAAGGCAGCCGGGCUAUAUCGUAAAAACGCCCCUGCCUUGAAGGCUUAUUUAGGAAAAACAUAAUGUGAAAAAAAGUGAAGAUUCAAGGUAGCUGGGUAUAGGGGUGUGUGUCUGAAACCCAAGAGUGUGGGAGGCUGAGGAAGAGGAGUUCAAAGCCAGCCUGGACUGCGUUGGAGGGACCCCGACUCCCCUGAACACCAGUUAACGGAAGAGUUAGGAUCAUGUCUCUUAGAACCGGUUGCUAGUCACCCUAUCUCAUGAGGUCCGGGCUCUGACUCCCCCAAACCUAUACCCAGCUGGUGAAAAUAUGAGGAAGUUCUCUUGAAUACUGUGACCAAAUCACUUAACCUCAAGACUCCUAGUUUAACAACUUAAAGCCCAAUUCAAGUAUCCACUCUGCUGGUCAGCAAAGCCUCUGGCGGUAGCUCAGAGAUAAAAGAUACAUCACCAAGGCAGCUUGCCUCUGCAGUGUGGUUAAGAGCAUGGCUUGUUUUAUUUUGCGAUUUUUUGCCUCCCUUUGUGUCCCUGACUGCUCCGGAACUCACUGUAUAGACUGAGCUGACUUGGAACUCAUGGAGAUCCACCUGCCUCUGGGCUUAAAGGCUUGUGCUGCUGCACCUUUAACCCCGUGUGGGCAAGAGCUCGCUCAGUGUAACAAAAUUGGCCUAAGCUGAGGCAUUUUGUGACAGCCUAUGAGUUCUAGGGACACAGACCAAGCCUUCUGGAGAACCCCGAGCUCUGCAUCUGUCCUGUGAGAGCCAGAGGCCAACCAGUUUCCAAGACUCUGAAAAACCAGCCAGGAGGCAAGGUGACAUCUCCCAGCUCUGAUUUCUUCAGUUGGAUGGAAUAAUGAAUUUCUCUACAUACUGACGUCUCUCAUCAAAAAAAAAAAAAAUCCUACCCCACAAGUCCCCCUCAUCCUUCCCUCCUCAACCUCAUUCGGAUUGCAAGUGUUGGGCUCAGGGACACUGAUCUGGCUUCUGAGGUUACUGACUGGCAAGUUGCAUGUGGACGUGUUACAGAGUUUGAAAUCACCAGGAAAAGACACCAGGCUCAACUUAAAUUUUAGUUAAAUUUAUUAAAGCUGCCAGCAGGACCACAGUCUCAAAUCCAAAUCAGAGAUGUGCUACCCAGAGGCAGGAGAAGGAAGGAUUUUCAGUUUGGUUGGUUUUGUUUUGUUUUGCUUUUGGAUUUUCAAAACAGAAUUUCUCUGUGUAGGCCUGGCUAUCCUUGAACUCACUCUGUAGACCAGUCUAGACUUUGCCUGGGCUUAAAGAGGUUCUCCAUUCCUGUCCAGAAUGAAGGAAGGGCUUUUAAAGUCGAAAAUCACAA